GUGGAGGAUAUAAAUUCUAGUCAAGACUGAGGUUACCCCUCUUUAUUCAGAAUUCACUGGUCUUCUUGGGUGUUAUAGGGGUUUAUUGAAUUCCAAAAGGAAGGGUUAAAUCUGUUGAUAUUUGGAAGACAUUCGAAAGUGAAAACAUUAACCGAUGUGAUUCGACACUAAGGUACGAAAGUAUGGGGAUAAAUGGGAUUAGAGACCCCAGUAGUCCAUACCUUAAACAAUGAGUGUCCAACAUCUUUCAGUAUAUUGUUACUGUUGGGGGUUURAAGYUACGCGCGAAACACUCAUCACAAUAACACUAA
rnacentral:rRNA from 1 species